rnacentral:rRNA from 1 species
AGUGAACGCUGGCGGUAGGCCUAACACAUGCAAGUCGAACGGCAGCACAGUAAGAGCUUGCUCUUACGGGUGGCGAGUGGCGGACGGGUGAGGAAUACAUCGGAAUCUACUUUUUCGUGGGGGAUAAUGUAGGGAAACUUACGCUAAUACCGCAUACGACCUACGGGUGAAAGCAGGGGAUCUUCGGACCUUGCGCGAUUGAUUGAGCCGAUGUCGGAUUAGCUAGUUGGCGGGGUAAAGGCCCACCAAGGCGACGAUCCGUAGCUGGUCUGAGAGGAUGGUCAGCCACACUGGAACUGAGACACGGUCCAAACUCCUACGGGAGGCGGCAGUGGGGAAUAUUGGACAAUGGGCGCAAGCCUGAUCCAGCCAUACCGCGUGGGUGAAGAAGGCCUUCGGGUUGUAAAGCCCUUUUGUUGGGAAAGAAAAGCAGCAGGUUAAUACCCCGCUGUUCUGACGGUACCCAAAGAAUAAGCACCGGCUAACUUCGUG